GUUGUAUUGGCGUUACCUAUAAAACAAGACAUGCAUGCUCAGAGAGAACACACAUGAGAAGCUGUGACAGGAAGGAGAACGCAUCAUGAAGCGUUCCACUUCCACUUCAACUCCAUCUUCGUCCUUGUUGCUCUUGACGGAAGCCAUGAGCCAACGAGUCCUCCGCCGCCGGUGCCAGGUCCCCAGAUGUCUCCGUCUCCAGUUCCAAUGCCUCCGGUCCAUCCUCCGCCGCCACCGCCGCCCAUGCCGGAGAUGUCAGCACUGGCGCCGCACCGCAAGACCCUGCAGCAAGCUGUCAGGGACGCCAUUUAAUUAUGCAUGAAACAGUGCUGCUCAUAUAUUAUUUUCGUCUAUGUAUGAUCUAUCAUGGUCCUAAGUAAUUGAGACGAUAAAUAAUGAUAUUAGCGUACAUAU